rnacentral:misc_RNA from 1 species
AACUGAUACUACCUGCGGGAACCUGCGGAAGGAUCAUUACCGAGUUUACAACUCCCAAACCCAUGUGAACAUACCUAUCGUUGCUUCGGCGGGAUCGCCCCGGGCGCCUUGCGUGCCCCGGAUCCAGGCACCCGCCGGGGGACCUUAACUCUUGUUUUAUUUAGAAUCUUCUGAGUAGUUUUUACAAAUAAAUAAAAACUUUCAACAACGGAUCUCU